rnacentral:lncRNA from 10 species
AUGAACACGUAGAAACAUCCCUGCCACAGAAACUGAGCAGAUUUCUCCCAAGCACACACAGGGCAAAGGGGCAAAGUCUGUCCACAGACUCACAGGAAGGGAGGUGCAUGGCAGACACAGGCAGGAGGUGGGGUUGGGGUGGAAAAGUUCAGGGAGGGCUCAAAAGCAGACCAAGGCCUGUUUCUGAAACCCAGCCCACUCACUGGUUCCUCCACACUUGGCCCAUGCUGUUCCUCUCCCAUGUGACUUUUCCAUCUUCCCCCUCCAACCUGUCACCCAUCCAUCCUUCAAAACUUAGGUCAGUUAGCUCUCACCUAGCCCUCAGCAGCUUAGCCCGCAGAUGCUUCCUCUGUUUCUGAACUUCUAGAGAAACACACUUAACCGCAGACCUCUUAUUCCAGGAGUGUAUCUCUCUCAGAUGAGAUACAAGUUGGUCCCUUCCCUUGCGUCCCUCCUGUUCCUUCAAGAGGAGGACUGUCUACCCACCCCGAAGCUUCAUGGAGAGAGAGCACACCGUCGUUAUUCAAUAUGUAGUUUUGAAUUUAACUAGAGCAAAGAAGAAAGCAAAUUCAGGUGGAAGGAAGAAGAAAAGGGAAAAGGGCUGUCCCCAUCCUUCUAAGGAGAUGGUGCAGUGGCUCACCUUUGGGAGGCCGAGGCAGGCAGAUCACUUGAGCUCAGCAGUUUGAGACCAGCCUGGGUAACAUAGUGAAACCCCAUCUCUACAGAAAUUAAAAAAUUAGCCAGACAUGGCGGCGCACACCUGUGGUCCCAGCUACUCAGGAGGCUGCGGCAGAAGUAUGCCUUGAGCCAAAGAGGCAGAGAUUGCAGUGAGCCAAGAUCAUGCUACUGCACUCCAGCCUGGGCAACGAAGCAAGACUGUCUCAGGAAAAAAAAAAAAAAUGAUCAUUUUUCUCUGUCCACUUGGUGGGUCAACUGAAUGGUAUUCCUGUGUCUUCUACUCUCCUCCCACUUGGAAACCCACUGAGAUGCUCUUCCGAAGGCCAGUGCAUGCUGGGCCACACGAGACAGAGCUCAGGCUGGAGGAGCCUCAUACCCGCCCCUCUAGAUGCUUAUAAAAAUACUUCCCACCUUUGAAUCAAGUGGAAAAUGAGGCUCUCCAGUCAAAAGCCGCGACUGUAUAGAAAGCCCUGAGUUGCCCAAUCUGUUCACAUGGCAUCACCAACCUCUGUGUCAUCAUCAAGCUGUCCAGGGGACUCGAUGGCCACCUGGCCAGGAACUGCGGGCUGAUUGGAAGCUGUUGUUCCCAUUGUAUAAUCACACACAUCAUAAAAUAAUCAGUCUUGUCUCUAUUUACAAUUUUGAUGUUUUGUUCAUCACA